UACGGAGGGGGCUAGCGUUGUUCGGAAUUACUGGGCGUAAAGCGCACGUAGGCGGCUUUGUAAGUUAGAGGUGAAAGCCCGGAGCUCAACUCCGGAAUAGCCUUUAAGACUGCAUCGCUAGAACGUUGGAGAGGUAAGUGGAAUUCCGAGUGUAGAGGUGAAAUUCGUAGAUAUUCGGAAGAACACCAGUGGCGAAGGCGACUCACUGGACAUGUAUUGACGCUGAGGUGCGAAAGCGUGGGGAGCAAACGGG
rnacentral:rRNA from 1 species